GAGGGCAGGGAAGUGGAAGUGGCCGACGCAGAAGAGAUACUUCUCGGCACCCGGGGGUGCCCUCAGCCUAUCCAAGAGCCAGUGGUCCUGCCUCAUCCUCCCGGGCCAGAGUUCAGUCGAUGAAAAGAAAAGAGAAAAGAAAAGGAAGGGAGGGCGAUCCGGACCUUCGCACACAGCCUGGUGACGCCAGGGACAGCCUCCAGGUGAAGUGGUGUCCCCACAUGUCACCUCCUUCCACAGCCUUUGCAGAUGGAGGACAUGCCAGCCCUUUCUGCCCCCGGGCCCCGAUCACACCGCGCCAAGACUGGGGUCUCUACCCAGGCUGCCCCGGUGAAAUCCGGAGCACCCUCCCGGCCGUGGACGGACACUCGGCUCAUGUUUGUUGAAUGGCUAACGAACAGAAGCACCAGCAAGGGGGCAACAGGCCAACCAAGCGCCUCGGACCCUGCAGAGGGGAAGAGUCCGGGACACGCAUGCCUCUGAGCAGGCAAAGUCACGCGCCACGCCUACCUUUUCCUGCCCCCGGGGGUCCGGUCCCACCCUGAUUCCUGGCUC